rnacentral:rRNA from 1 species
UACGAAGGGAGCUAGCGUUGUUCGGAAUCACUGGGCGUAAAGCGCACGUAGGCGGAUGUGUCAGUCAGGGGUGAAAUCCCGGAGCUCAACUUCGGAACUGCCCUUGAUACAGCACGUCUUGAGUCCGGAAGAGGUGGGUGGAAUUCCUAGUGUAGAGGUGAAAUUCGUAGAUAUUAGGCAGAACACCGGUGGCGAAGGCGGCCCACUGGUCCGGUACUGACGCUGAGGUGCGAAAGCGUGGGGAGCAAACAGG